rnacentral:rRNA from 1 species
UAGAGGAAGUAAAAGUCGUAACAAGGUUUCCGUAGGUGAACCUGCGGAAGGAUCAUUACCGAACCGUCGACACGAGCUGUUGCUGGCCUUUGAACGAGGGCACGUGCACGCUCUGUUUACACAUCCACCCACCCCUGUGCACCUCUUGUAGCUCUAUGGUCUGAGGAGGCUCUGUUUCCCUUCUGUAGUUCUACGUUUUUACACACACACGUUAACAAAGUCUUGUGGAAUGCACACCGCUUUCAACGCGAUACAAUACAACUUUCAGCAACGGAUCUCUUGGCUCUCGCAUCGAUGAAGAACGCAGCGAAAUGCGAUAAGUAAUGUGAAUUGCAGAAUUCAGUGAAUCAUCGAAUCUUUGAACGCACCUUGCGCCCUUUGGCUAUUCCGAAGGGCAUGCCUGUUUGAGUAUCAUGAACACCCUCAACUCUCAUGGUUUUCCGUGAUGAGCUUGGACUUGGGGGUUUUGCUGGCCUGCGGUCGGCUCCCCUUAAACGAAUUAGCUUGCCGGCGUUUGGCAGCAGCAUGGGUGUGAUAACCAUCUACGCUCGUGAUUGUCUGCAAAGGUACCCUCUGGUCGCGGGGGGUUCACCGGUGCUUCUAGAUGUCUCUCCUCAGCGAAGACAGCUGUUUGAAGUUUGAUCUCAAAUCAGGUAGGAUUACCCGCUGAACUUAAGCAUAUCAAUA